UGUCAAAAUAGCUGAGACAAACAAACCAAGG
rnacentral:piRNA from 1 species